UUUGUUGUGAUCUUUUUGGUGCCUUGAGGGUUAGUGUGAGAUUGUGCCAUAGGCAACAGGGGACCGUUCUAGGUGUGCCUUAGAAUUGGCAGAUAGCAGUUCAAGUCAGGCACAUUGUCCUUAAAAUCAAGGUAUUCAUAAAUUGAUCAAACUGGAAAAGGGCCAUGGUAGAGCUAAGAGAAUGCUCGUAUGAACAGAUGUAAAAAUUGAUACAAUCUGCGACAGACUUUUUAUUAACUGAGCCCAAAGUUGAAAGAACACAGAAAACGUGAAAUGCAUUUAAUUUAGAUCCAGCCUGAAAGGUCGCCAUAAAGGGAAGAAAGCCACAGGAGCCUUGGACCAAACAGCUGAGGCAGGCUGCACACAGGGAGAUCCUUUGGCAGUAUUCGGAGGAGAUGUUGAUUUUCUCUCCCCAGGAGAUGCAAGGGUAAUGCUGCUCCAGUCAAGUGGCAUCAAGAAUUAGGGGAAAUGCGAGGAAUGGAUCACACUGAACUGUGGCCCUAGAUUACAGCCUUUAAGGGCACCGUUUCCUGAGUCACUGACUCAGUGGAAAGGAAGGAAUACACUGGAAGAGAACAUGUGUCAUGCCUUUAUUUCUAAAUGUUAGGUG